rnacentral:tRNA from 1 species
GCCCGGGUGGCUCAGUUGGUUGAGCAUCUGACUCUUGGUUUCAGCUCAGGUUAUGAUGUCGAGAUUUCAUGGGUUCGAACCCUGUGUCGGGCU